rnacentral:tRNA from 1 species
AUUUAAUUAGUUUAUUUAGAACGUUGGUUUGUGAUAUCAGAGGAAUAAUUAAGUUAUAUUAGAUU